rnacentral:misc_RNA from 1 species
UACUGUAUACUAUUAUCUAUAAAAAUAGUAGACCUCACCUAGCCCUUCUGGGGUGACUAGCUACGCCAUAACACAAUCGAAGAGGAUCACAAGACACAGAUCUCUACUCUCGAUGUCAACUCUAAUACACCUUAAGAUUCAAUUGUAUAAGGUGUUUGCAGCAGGUCAUAAGGUGACCAUAGACCAUCUAACGGACAAGGUCGAUUGGCGUCAAGUCGAGCCCAUGGUUUUCCCUUUCCACUCCAAUGCAAUAGACUAACUGGACCAGGGUGCAAAUCCCGACAGAGUCCAUGAAAAUUAUCUCCACCAAGACCAUGUUGGUUCCAGCUAUGAUCCACCGGAGCUAUAUUUCCAGCAAAAACAAGCAGAAAAGGGGGUAAAGAUCCCAAUUCAUAAAUCCUCAUUCUCUUUUGCAACUCCAUCCACUCCACAAUCUUAGUAGUAUAAUCCCCUGCUCUCCAUCUCUCUAGAUCAAUAACCAUCACCCCAGUAUUAAAAUAACAAGGCCUCCGAUUUCGAUUCGCAAAAGUCAAGGAAAGAGAAGGAUUCGACCAAAAAGUCGGCGUGAAGUAAGUAGUAAAAUUAGCAUUGCAGUAUUCAGGUGCUGCUAAAACAGAGUCCCCUGUUAGAGGCGUUGCUGCUAAUUCAGCAAUGUCGUCUACUAAAACAAGGUCCGAAUCAAGAUAAACCACCUUUUGAAGUUGUUGAGGAAGUAGAUCAGCAAGAUAAUUGCGAGCAUAAUUUAAAGGACAAUCUAAAGCAGAGCGAAUUGAGGUUGAAAUUAGUCCUGCUACGGCUGCAACAUGUUGAAUUGGAUAAAUUGUGAAUUGAAGAUACGGAAAUGAUUUCGUAAUAGUCAAGUUCAAAUGUGUGGAUUCAGCAGAUGAAGAAGAGACAAAAUGGAAUACAAUGUUUUCUGGGCAAGAAGAGUGUUGUAGCACUGAAAGAAUAGCAGCCAUAGAUCCCCUGAGAUAAGCUAUAUCAAGAGUCAUAGCUACAUUUACUGAAGAAUUAAUUGAAGAACAACUCGGGGAAUUAUAGAACUGCGGCGCUUCUUUAAAAUGGAGACUGGAAUUGGAAUCAGUGUCAGUGAUUGCAGAAUCAGUACCAUUUAGUGUGGAUAAUAAAGAGAAA